rnacentral:rRNA from 1 species
AAUAGAUACCCCGGUAGUCCACGCCGUAAACGAUGAGUACUAGGGGUUGGGGGUAUCGACCCCCUCAGUCUCGAAGCUAACGCGAUAAGUACUCCGCCUGGGGACUACGGCCGCAAGGCUAAAACUCAAAGGAAUUGACGGGGGCCCGCACAAGCAGCGGAGCGUGUGGUUUAAUUCGAUGAUACGCGAAGAACCUUACCUGGUCUUGACAUGCACGUGGUACUGAUUCGAAAGAUGAGGGACCCCUCGGGGAGCGUGCACAGGUGUUGCACGGCCGUCGUCAGCUCGUGCCGUGAGGUGUUGGGUUAAGUCUCGCAACGAGCGCAACCCCCGUCGUCAGUUGUACUUUUCUGACGAGACUGCCGGGAAAUCCCCGGAGGAAGGAGGGGAUGAUGUCAGGUCAGCGUGGCCCUUACGACCAGGGGCUACACACACGCUACAAUGGGUGGUACAGAGGGUCGCGAAGCCGCGAGGUGGAGCUAAUCCCACAAAGCCAUCCUCAGUUCGGAUUGCAGGCUGAAACUCGCCUGCAUGAAGCCGGAGUU